UACGAAGGGGCUAGCGUUGCUCGGAAUUACUGGGCGUAAAGGGCGCGUAGGCGGAUAGUUCAGUCGGGGGUGAAAGCCCGGGGCUCGAACCUCGGAACUGCCUUCGAUACUGGCUAUCUUGAGUACGGGAGAGGUGUGUGGAACUCCGAGUGUAGAGGUGAAAUUCGUAGAUAUUCGGAAGAACACCAGUGGCGAAGGCGACACACUGGCCCGUUACUGACGCUGAGGCGCGAAAGCGUGGGGAGCAAACAGGAUUAGAC
rnacentral:rRNA from 1 species